GGGUGAGUAACGCGUAAGUAAUCUGUCCUGAUAUCUGGAAUAACACUCCGAAAGGUGUGCUAAUACCGGAUACGCUGAGAAAUCAGGAAAGGUGGCCUCUUCAUGAAAGCUACUGUAUCAGGAGGAGCUUGCGUACCAUUAGCUAGUUGGUGGGGUAAUGGCCUACCAAGGCAACGAUGGUUAGCGGGUCUGAGAGGAUGAUCCGCCACACUGGAACUGGAACACGGACCAGACUCCUACGGGAGGCAGCAGUGAGGAAUAUUGCGCAAUGGGGGCAACCCUGACGCAGCGACGCCGCGUGGAUGAUGAAGGCCUUCGGGUCGUAAAAUCCUGUCAGAUGGAAAGAAAUGUCAUAUGCCUAAUAUGUGUAUGAUUUGACGGUACCAUCAAAGGAAGCACCGGCUAACUCCGUGCCAGCAGCCGCGGUAAUACGGAGGGUGCAAGCGUUGUUCGGAAUUACUGGGCGUAAAGCGCGCGUAGGCGGCUUUUUAAGUCAGAUGUGAAAGUCCACGGCUCAACCGUGGAAGUGCAUUUGAUACUGGGAAGCUUGAGUACUGGAGGGGAUGGUGGAAUUCCCGGUGUAGAGGUGAAAUUCGUAGAUAUCGGGAGGAAUACCGGUGGCGAAGGCGACCAUCUGGCCAGAUACUGACGCUGAGGUGCGAAAGCGUGGG
rnacentral:rRNA from 1 species